rnacentral:rRNA from 1 species
GAUGAACGCUGGCGGCGUGCCUAAUACAUGCAAGUCGAGCGAACAGAUGAGGAGCUUGCUCCUCUGACGUUAGAGGCGGACGGGUGAGUAACACGUGGAUAACAUACCUAUAAGACUGGGAUAACUUCGGGAAACAGGAGCUAAUACCGGAUAAUCUAUUGAACCGCAUGGUUCAAUAGUGAAAGACGGUUUUGCUGUCACUUAUAGAUGGAUCCGCGCCGCAUUAGCUAGUUGGUAAGGUAACGGCUUACCAAGGCAACGAUGCGUAGCCGACCUGGGAGGUUGAUCGCCCACACUGGAACUGGGACACGGCCCAGACUCCUACGGGAGGCAGCAGUAGGGAAUCUUCCGCAAUGGGCGAAAGCCUGACGGAGCAACGCCGCGUGAGUGAUGAAGGUCUUCGGAUCGUAAAACUCUGUUAUUAGGGAAGAACAAAUGUGUAAGUAACUAUGCACGUCUUGACGGUACCUAAUCAGAAAGCCACGGCUAACUACGUG